rfam:Phlebiopsis gigantea 11061_1 CR5-6 unplaced genomic scaffold PHLGIscaffold_28, whole genome shotgun sequence.
GGACCCUUAGCUCAAUCGGUAGAGCUUUGUACUUAUGAGGUUAAUGUAUGCAAGGGUCCCGAGUUCGAUUCUCGGAGGGUCCA